UGGUAGUNCACGCCGUAAACGAUGAGUGCUAGGUGUUAGACCCUUUCCGGGGUUUAGUGCCGCAGCUAACGCAUUAAGCACUCCGCCUGGGGAGUACGACCGCAAGGUUGAAACUCAAAGGAAUUGACGGGGGCCCGCACAAGCGGUGGAGCAUGUGGUUUAAUUCGAAGCAACGCGAAGAACCUUACCAGGUCUUGACAUCCCUCUGACCGCUCUAGAGAUAGAGUUUUCCUUCGGGACAGAGGUGACAGGUGGUGCAUGGUUGUCGUCAGCUCGUGUCGUGAGAUGUUGGGUUAAGUCCNGCAACGAGCGCAACCCCUAUUGUUAGUUGCCAUCAUUUAGUUGGGCACUCUAGCGAGACUGCCGGUAAUAAACCGGAGGAAGGUGGGGAUGACGUCAAAUCAUCAUGCCCCUUAUGGCCUGGGCUACACACGUGCUACAAUGGCUGGUACAACGAGUCGCAAGCCGGUGACGGCAAGCUAAUCUCUUAAAGCCAGUCUCAGUUCGGAUUGUAGGCUGCAACUCG
rnacentral:rRNA from 1 species